rnacentral:rRNA from 1 species
AUAGAGUCAAGUGAAUAAGUGCAUCAGGUGGAUGCCUUGGCGAUGAUAGGCGACGAAGGACGUGUAAGCCUGCGAAAAGCAUCGGGGAGCUGGCAAUAAAGCUAUGAUCCGGUGAUGUCCGAAUGGGGAAACCCACUGCAUUCAGUGCAGUAUCCAUACCUGAAUACAUAGGGUAUGAGAAGCGAACCCGGAGAACUGAACCAUCUAAGUACCCGGAGGAAAAGAAAUCAACCGAGAUUCCGCAAGUAGUGGCGAGCGAACGCGGAGGAGCCUGUAUGUGAUAGCCGUUGAGAUAGAAGAACAAGCUGGGAAGCUUGGCCAUAGUGGGUGAUAGCCCCGUAUUCGAAAUCUCAUCGGUGGUACUAAGCAUACGACAAGUAGGGCGGGACACGUGGAAUCCUGUCUGAACAUGGGGGGACCAUCCUCCAAGGCUAAAUACUCAUCAUCGACCGAUAGUGAACCAGUACCGUGAGGGAAAGGCGAAAAGAACCCCGGGAGGGGAGUGAAACAGAACCUGAAACCUGAUGCAUACAAACAGUGGGAGCGGACUUGUUCCGUGACUGCGUACCUUUUGUAUAAUGGGUCAACGACUUACGUUCAGUAGCGAGCUUAACCGGAUAGGGGAGGCGUAGGGAAACCGAGUCUUAAUAGGGCGAUUAGUUGCUGGGCGUAGACCCGAAACCGAGUGAUCUAUCCAUGGCCAGGAUGAAGGUGCGGUAACACGCACUGGAGGUCCGAACCCACGCAUGUUGCAAAAUGCGGGGAUGAGCUGUGGAUAGGGGUGAAAGGCUAAACAAACUCGGAGAUAGCUGGUUCUCCCCGAAAACUAUUUAGGUAGUGCCUCGAGUAAGAGACUGAUGGGGGUAAAGCACUGUUAUGGCUAGGGGGUUAUUGCAACUUACCAACCCAUGGCAAACUAAGAAUACCAUCAAGUUGUUCCUCGGGAGACAGACAGCGGGUGCUAACGUCCGUUGUCAAGAGGGAAACAACCCAGACCGCCAGCUAAGGUCCCAAAUGACAGAUUAAGUGGUAAACGAAGUGGGAAGGCCCAGACAGCCAGGAUGUUGGCUUAGAAGCAGCCAUCAUUUAAAGAAAGCGUAAUAGCUCACUGGUCGAGUCGUCCUGCGCGGAAGAUGUAACGGGGCUCAAAUCUGUAACCGAAGCUGCGGAUGCUAGCAAUAGCAUGGUAGGGGAGCGUUCUGUAGGCCGAAGAAGGUGUGUUGUAAAGCAUGCUGGAGGUAUCAGAAGUGCGAAUGUUGACAUGAGUAGCGAUAAAGCGGGUGAAAAGCCCGCUCGCCGAAAGCCCAAGGUUUCCUACGCAACGUUCAUCGGCGUAGGGUGAGUCGGCCCCUAAGGCGAGGCAGAAAUGCGUAGUCGAUGGGAAACGGGUUAAUAUUCCCGUACUUUGAUUCAAUGCGAUGUGGGGACGGAGAAGGUUAGGUUAGCAAACUGUUGGAAUAGUUUGUUCAAGCCGGUAGGUGGAAGACUUAGGCAAAUC